UGCCUAGAAGACAUGACCACAUCACAAAAGCCAUCUCCAUCACCAGAUGUGGUAGCUGCCAACUUGCCACCCUUGUGAACACUAUGAGCAGAGGGGCCCUGGGUUUAAUGGGCCAUGAAUUAACUUCAUAGUUAACACCUUAGAGGUGUUCAAGGCAUUGGGCCCUCCAAUGCUGAGAAGAUCUGCAGUUUCAGGAGAGACUCAGACAAGCCUGGAUGUGCCUGCAGCAGAAAUGCAAGCAUCAACCAUUAAAUACUAGGGGGCUUGCUUUAUGCUGCGCCGCCUUAGGUGACUGGCUGGCUGUGUAUGGUCUAGCCAUCAGACUGUACCUUUUCCUGGAACUCGAGCCUUUUACGCUUUCCAGCAGGGUGAAUGUUAAACGCAAAUAUUUAAAACAGUCUCUUGGACGCAUCGGGAACAAUUUGAUGAUCGGGCUGAUACUGCUGAAGACAGGGAGAGCUUCUGACUCACAGGUGAGCUGAGUAUUUUAAUCUCUUACCUGAAACAAGGCGCUGGAAGCUGACUCGUGAGUUUUCUGUUCUUUGGGCAGUGGGAUAUUUCAGAAUGAUCCUGACCCCCCAGGAAGCAGCGUGGCUUUGGUUCUGGCUCCCAGAGCAGAGCUGUUGCGUUCAGAGGUGUCUCAUCAAGCCAUGUCCAUCACUGGACAUUCUUUUAUACCACACCACAUAGCCUCAAACUGUCCCAUGGGAAAUCUGAAGAAUGAGGGUUUAUUGAAGCUGCACUUUAGGACCAACUCAGCUGUAGGUUUCCUUCCCCUUUAGAUAACCCAAUUGCCUGUGGAAGGAACGAAGGAAUGAGUUGGAUGGUCAGUGUCCAGAUGUUCAGGGGGAUUGAAAAAGCUUUAAGGCCUUGAUCCACCAAAGCACUUAAGGACAUGCGUAAUCCCAUUGGUAUUGGCUUCAGUGAGAUGACUCCCCUGCUUAAAGUGAAGUAUGUGCUUUCCUGGAUCAGGGCCGGAGUGAUUUAUACUUCCUGAUGAAUUCUUUGGUCAUUUCACUCCUCUUGCCUCUCUGGCAAUGCUUGUAUCUCUGCGUCUGUCGUCUACUUCCCUCGCAGGCUGUCUUCUGCAAUCCACAGGCUAGCGUGGGCAGCCUCCCAGCAGCUCACACAUGGUCGCACUGCCGUUUGAUGCGCCGAGCUGUUCCCAAGCUCAGGGGCUGGGGAAGAAUCCAAUUCAAACUGCUUUAAAGCGAGGCAGCCUGCCGGGCCAGUGGGCGUCAUGGCCAUGAGAAGGACCUAGGUUUGAAUUUCAUUCCCAGUCUCAGGCUGGCAGGGUUGCGAUAGAGCUGCAGAGGCCAUGCACUCAACUCAUGAAUGAGAAGGGCUCCCUCAAUUUGCUCAGUAAUAAGACUGCUUAGAAAAAUAUAGCCCUUCCCACGCUCAAAGCACUGCAUAAUUAAUCCUUGUAAAGCCCCUGUGGGCAGGGAAGUAAAUAUCAUUGUCUCCAUUGUACAGAUGGGG
rnacentral:lncRNA from 1 species